rnacentral:misc_RNA from 1 species
GAUGAAGAACGUAGCGAAAUGCGAUAAGUAAUGUGAAUUGCAGAAUUCAGUGAAUCAUCGAAUCUUUGAACGCACAUUGCGCCCAUUAGUAUUCUAGUGGGCAUGCCUGUUCGAGCGUCAUUAAGUCCACUUAAGCCCUGCUUAGUGUUGGGAAUCUACUCUAGUGGUGCUACCCUGGAGCUACCCCUGAAAGGGGGCUGGCCCGGUAGCUACCCUGUAGUUCCUCAAAGAUAGUGCGCGGAGUUGCGUGGUCCUCUGAGCUUAGUAACUAUACACCUAGCUUUUGAGUGUCCCGCGGCGCCUGCCGUUUAAACCCCAUCUUUUAAUGGUUGACCUCGGAUCAGGUAGGAAUACCCGCUGAACUUAAGCAUAUCAAUAAGCGGAGGA